ACAGCACCCUUCCUCUGCCCCCCUCCACGAGUGGUGCGCAAAUGGCCGGGUGCGAUUCCCCGAGAAGCAUAUCCGCGUCAUUGGGAAAUGAUCGGGAAAUGUCCAGCUUAAGUAAGGCAUCACUAAUGCGCCUCGGAGCGCUACGCUCAUCCGCGAAGCCCGACUAAAUGGCGGCUUCGGCUGCCAUCCACCGAGCAAAGUGCGGGGAUCAUCCCUGAGACUGUCAGAGGGGAGCAGACAGCGGCAUCCCCCCGCCGGCCUCGCCCGGAGACACCCGGCAGGGGGGAGCUCCUCCACCUCGCCGUUAUUUCUGACAGACAAACUCCUGUCUUCACCGACUGACAUAAUUGCAGCAUGAUGGAUUUAGCUGCGUUUGGUGACGGCAAGGUUUUACUGCGGCCGACGGACGCCGGAAGGUCCUUUGAUGGAUUCGUGGCAGCCCGGUGCGGCAGGUCCCAGAUGGCUGCUUGAACAAGUAGACAAGGAGGAAGGUCUGCAAGCCGCUGAGGACAGGAGUUGGAUGACAUAGCCAGCAGUGGAGACCCAGCAAGCUGUGUUCCAGCAGAGGGCCGAGGACACGAGGACAGCAGAGGGCCUGAAGGACCAGGGCCGUGCUGUUCAGGUAGCAGCCUGUCCCAGCAGAAGGACAGACUGCGCAUUUGUCAUGUCAUAUUUGUCAGAGCAGAGCGUGUGGCGGCGGUUUGAGUCGCACUUAAGCAAAUACAGGAAUGAUUGAACCCUCGAGGCUCUGGUUUAGUUUUGAUUUACGGCAGCUCAUAUUAGGGGUCAUUAAGAAAAUAAUCAUGAUUUAUAAAUCCUUUUUUCGUAAAGAGGAGGAGGGGGAAAAAAGGAGUCCAAGCAGGCUGAGCAAAUUGAGUUUGGGCUUUGCGAUAUCGUUUCU